rnacentral:rRNA from 1 species
AGUGAACGCUGGCGGUAGGCCUAACACAUGCAAGUCGAACGGCAGCACAGUAAGAGCUUGCUCUUACGGGUGGCGAGUGGCGGACGGGUGAGGAAUACAUCGGAAUCUACUUUUUCGUGGGGGAUAACGUAGGGAAACUUACGCAAUACCGCAUACGACCUGCGGGUGAAAGCAGGGGAUCUUCGGACCUUGCGCGAUUGAAUGAGCCGAUGUCGGAUUAGCUAGUUGGCGGGGUAAAGGCCCACCAAGGCGACGAUCCGUAGCUGGUCUGAGAGGAUGAUCAGCCACAAUGGAACUGAGACACGGACCAGACUCCUACGGGAGGCAGCAGUGGGGAAUAUUGGACAAUGGGCGCAAUCCUGAUCCAGCCAUACCGCGUGGGUGAAGAAGGCCUUCGGGUUGUAAAGCCCUUUUGUUGGGAAAGAAAAGCAGCAGGUUAAUACCCCGCUGUUCUGACGGUACCCAAAGAAUAAGCACCGGCUAACUUCGUG